AGUGAACGCUGGCGGUAGGCCUAACACAUGCAAGUCGAACGGCAGCACAGUAAGAGCUUGCUCUUACGGGUGGCGAGUGGCGGACGGGUGAGGAAUACAUCGGAAUCUACUUUUUCGUGGGGGAUAACGUAGGGAAACUUACGCUAAUACCGCAUACGACCUACGGGUGAAAGCAGGGGAUCUUCGGACCUUGCGCGAUUGAAUGAGCCGAUGUCGGAUUAGCUAGUUGGCGGGGUAAAGGCCCACCAAGGCGACGAUCCGUAGCUGGUCUGAGAGGAUGAUCAGCCACACUGGAACUGAGACACGGUCCAGACUCCUACGGGAGGCAGCAGUGGGGAAUAUUGGACAAUGGGCGCAAGCCUGAUCCAGCCACACCGCGUGGGUGAAGAAGGCCUUCGGGUUGUAAAGCCCUUUUGUUGGGAAAGAAAAGCAGCAGGUUAAUACCCCGCUGUUCUGACGGUACCCAAAGAAUAAGCACCGGCUGACUUCGUG
rnacentral:rRNA from 1 species